CCUGUCCCAGCUCCCAGCCCAGCAGCCUGUUAGGAGCCUCGUACAGAGGCCCUUGACAAUUCUGCUUUUCUUCUGGAAGGUUUGGGAAGUAUUCGCAUGAUGAACUGUCCAUCCUGGUGCCGCUACAGCAAUGCUGCAGGAUCCGGAAGUCCACCUACCUGCGUCUGCAGCUCCUGGCCAAGGAGGAGUACAAGCUGAGCCUGCUGAUGGCCGAGUCUCUGCGGGGGGACCAGGUGGCACCCGUGCUGUACCAGCCGCACCUGGAGGCCCUGGACCGGCGGCUCCGUGUCGUGCUGCAGGCCGUCCGGGACUGCGUGGAGAGGGACGGGCUCCUCAGCGUGGUGGAGGACGACCUGGACACUGAGCACAGAGCCGCCUCGGCGAGGUAGUGUCCACCGGCCGCCGCGCUGCCCGGGACGGAGCCAGAGGGGCCGGGCCUCCCAAAAAGCGCACGUGCCCGCGCCCGUCGUGAAUUCAGUGAAUUCAGAGGCAGGACGAGAUCAGCGGAGUCGGGACCUGCUGCCUCGGGAGGCCAGGCUCCCCAGGUCUAGUAGGACACAUUUUGUCAGUGUUCGACCAGAAAAGGUUGGGAAGGAAGCGCUGUCUGUGCUCACGGACAGAGGCGGCCGGCGCCCGAGGCAUUCCAUCCUUUCUGUAGGGAAAGGAGCCUUUAUUUACUAUUUUGUAUUUAUAUAUGAUGAAUAAGUAUAUUAACAGAAACGCGUACACAGACUCCGAUCACCUACCAAACCAAACACGAGGGCCGCCCUCCCCGGUUCUGGGGGCCCCUCAAGGCCACGUUCAACCCUCAAGUGCUCUCACACUCGGGACCUGUUUCAAGUCAAAACUCUUUCUCCUUCCUGGGGCCUCGGCUCCUGGAGGGCUGGAGGGUCUCGUCUGAGGAUGGAAGGAGGCUCUCGCUGACGUCUGGCCUGUGAGCUGGUGGACGGAUGCCCACGUAGUUUUGGAGGACCUGAUGACCAGGCGUCCUACGAUUCCGUCCGCUGACCCACAGUGCCCAUCUCGGACUUGGCUGCGGACAGUUGGUGCAAGUGUGUCCUGCGGGACUGGCUGUGCGCAGCUGUGGGUUGACCUUUGCAGAGUUUUGUGGAAUCGUUUGCAAUGUGAUAAAAGUGCAAUAAAGGUACAGCAGAUGUGUGUCGGCCUCACGGGGCGGGUCCCUC